UCUGUUCUUUCUCCCAAAGGAAAAGAGAAGUGAUGAUAGCGUUAAAACGCAGGGAUACCAGUCCACGCGCGAUAGGAGCUUUUUCCGCCACUCCAGCAAAAAUCGCGAGCUAGAGGCGACGAAAAUUGCGUGGCUGAGCUCGUCCUCUUCACGAGUACGCUCGUACAGUCUGGGCUUGCCGAGCUUUUCAGAAAAGCGACUGCCAGAUUCGUCCUUCACAUCCAAGUGGGUUGAUCUCCACGACUCACUUACUAGCGCCUAGAUCGGAUGGUCCUCCUCGUUGUCCCGUUGACUUUGCUGGAAAAGGAUUGAAGAUUUCGUACAAGUGAAAUGUAACCCCUCAAAAAUUGGAUUUCAAAUGGUGAAGGGAUUUUUCGCCGGUUUCUUGGUCGAUUUUGCCCUUAUACUGGACCCUAAUUUCCCCUAUUUAAGAUCGCUUUCUGAAAUUUCAGAGGAGGAUUUUUUUUUAGUUUUUGGUGGCUUUGAAUCUUCUGGAAAUUCCUAGGCCUAAAAUAUUGGGAAGAAUACCAAAAAGAUAGAAGAAGAGGUUACUUAAACUAUUGUAAGGUAUUUCAAGGUUAAAGAGUGGAGUAAUCUUGUUAAGAAUAUUAGUUUUCUCUUCGUUUUGAACCAGUCCUUUCCCAAGUUCGUCGGCUGAUUUGUUUCGCCUUCAAAUCUCUCUUUGUUCGGUGAAAGUCACUACUCAUUCCGUCCCAGUAGCGCUGCUCGAAAGAAGGUUCGGGCCGUUGAGGCUUUCUAGGCCAUUUGUAAGAAGACUUGGAAUUUUCCCCGAGUUGUUAGUGAGUCCUCAAAGUUUGAGGAUGAUGCCAUUUAUUCUACCUUAGUAGUAUUGCUUAUAUCUAAAGAUAUUUAUUCGUUCUUUAUCAUUUUAGACUAUUUAUGUAAGCCUAUAUGUGGCAUAUUGUACUAGUGUAAGGGUUAAACCCAACUUUGUAAUUCUCUAUUAUAUGGUUUAAUGUGAGACUAUUAUUAGA